AGUACGUGAAACUGCUUAGAGGUUAAGCCCGAUGAACCUGAAUAUCCAUUAUGGAAAAUUCAUCAUUAAUAAUAUAAUAUUUUAAAAAUAUUAUAAAAAUAUUGUGCAAUUUUUCCAUAUAAGGACAUUGUAAUCUGUUAAUGUAAUAAAUAUUUAUCAUAAGAUCCAUUACUUAAGUUUAUUCAAAUUAGUUAUUUUCGGAUUUCUAACAUAGAAUAAAUGUUUUGGAUUUGAUAAAUCAUUGACAGAUAUAAUUAUAUAAUGUGCUGAAAUUCUUAAUUGAAUUUUAUAAUGAUAUUUAAAUCUAUUGAUUUAUUUAUUUAAUUAUAUGCACUAUUAUGAUUAACAAUGCGAUAGAUUCAGGAUACCUUCGGGACCCGUCUUGAAACACGGACCAAGGAGUCUAACAUAUGUGCAAGUCAUUGGGUAUAAAAACCCAAUGGCGUAAUUAACUUAACUUAAAUUAAAAAUGGGAUGAAUUUAUAUUUUGUAAUGAAAUAUUAAUGCAAUCCCGGGGCGUUCUAUAUAGUUAUGUAUAAUAAUAUUUAUAUUAUUUAUACCUCUAACUAGAGCGUACCUUGAGC
rnacentral:rRNA from 1 species